CGUGUAGGCGGACAAUCAAGUCCGGUGUGAAAGAUCUCGGCUUAACCGAGGGACCGCGCUGGAAACUGGUAGUCUUGAGUACUGGAGGGGAAGCUGGAAUUCCUGGUGUAGGGGUGAAAUCUGUAGAUAUCAGGAAGAACACCGGUGGCGAAGGCGAGCUUCUGGCCAGUAACUGACGCUGAGGCGCGAAAGCGUGGGGAGCGAACA
rnacentral:rRNA from 1 species